rnacentral:rRNA from 1 species
ACGCUGGCGGCGUGCCUAAUACAUGCAAGUCGAACGAGAGCGACCGGUGCUUGCACUGGUCAAUCUAGUGGCGAACGGGUGAGUAACACGUGGGAACCUGCCCAUCAGAGGGGGAUAACAUUCGGAAACGGAUGCUAAAACCGCAUAGGUCCUUUAACCGCAUGGUUGAAGGAGGAAAAGAGGCGCAAGCUUCUGCUGAUGGAUGGACCCGCGGUGCAUUAGCUAGUUGGUGAGGUAACGGCUCACCAAGGCCGUGAUGCAUAGCCGACCUGAGAGGGUGAUCGGCCACAUUGGGACUGAGACACGGCCCAAACUCCUACGGGAGGCAGCAGUAGGGAAUCUUCCGCAAUGGACGCAAGUCUGACGGAGCAACGCCGCGUGAGUGAAGAAGGUUUUCGGAUCGUAAAACUCUGUUGUUAGAGAAGAACAAGUGCUAGAGUAACUGUUAGCGCCUUGACGGUAUCUAACCAGAAAGCCACGGCUAACUACGUGCCAGCAGCCGCGGUAAUACGUAGGUGGCAAGCGUUGUCCGGAUUUAUUGGGCGUAAAGCGAGCGCAGGCGGUUCCUUAAGUCUGAUGUGAAAGCCCCCGGCUCAACCGGGGAGGGUCAUUGGAAACUGGGGAACUUGAGUGCAGAAGAGGAGAGUGGAAUUCCAUGUGUAGCGGUGAAAUGCGUAGAUAUAUGGAGGAACACCAGUGGCGAAGGCGACUCUCUGGUCUGUAACUGACGCUGAGGCUCGAAAGCGUGGGUAGCAAACAGGAUUAGAUACCCUGGUAGUCCACGCCGUAAACGAUGAGUGCUAAGUGUUGGAGGGUUUCCGCCCUUCAGUGCUGCAGUUAACGCAUUAAGCACUCCGCCUGGGGAGUACGACCGCAAGGUUGAAACUCAAAGGAAUUGACGGGGACCC